UGAGGCUGGCUUUGAACUUGAGAUCCUCCUGCCUCAGCCUCCUGAACUUCUGAGAUCACAAGCGUGUGCCAUUGCCUCAUUUUUAAAUAUAGAAAUUAUAUACUAUGUUUAGAAUAUAGAAAUUAGAAAUAUAGGGAUUAAAUACAGAAGUUACAUUCAAUUAGUUAUCCAUUAAAUAAAUUAGCAUUUAAUACCUAAGGUAUAAAAUUAAUAGUGGAGAAAUAGCUGGUUACUAGAACUAUGAAAAAGUCGUUGUUGGGAGUCCUCAUUCCAUAAAAUCACCUAAUGGUAAGUAUUUUAUUUAAUGUUGGAGGGGAAGAAUGUAAAUGGAGUUGGCCCUCCCUGGCUGACUCUGCAUCGUGGAUUCAGCCAACUGCAGAUCGGAGUUGUGGGGAAAGUCGUGUGCACACAAACGCAUGAGGCUUCCUGGUCCCUGGUCCCUGGUCCCUGGGCAGUGCAGCCAGCAGACACGCCUGGCGUCCUCUGUGGGCACUCACGGCCUCUGCGGUGACUUGGCAAGGGGAGGCUGUCAGUACCGGGCCGCUUUACGGGGUGGCCUGGAGCCCAUUCCCGGGGCCGAGACAGCCCACGGCCCACUGGGCAGAUGAAGACUGGUAGAUGGCAGACCACCUUCCAUUCUGCAGACAAGUGGGAAAUAGAGUCCCCUGAAACAAACUUGAAAGUCUACAAACAAGCUGCGGCAGGGAGAAACCAGGUGCCCGGAACCAGGAGGGGAGUCCCAGGCGAGAGGAGCAAGGGACCAGAGACAGGUGGGCUGUGGGGCGCGGGCCGGGUGGCCAGGGAACUGCACUCACAGGCUGGGGCUUGCCCAGGUGGGAGGUGGAGAGCGGGGGACAGCCACUAGAGCCACACACUGCACCACCCCUGGAGCAGCAGGACCAGGCCACACACAGCCGGAGGGAGUCCCGUCCACCAGCACAGGGACACUGGCCCCUUGCGGAACCUGAGGCCCCAUGGAAAGCCGCCUGCUGAGGAGCGUACAGUCAAAUCGGUGCCUUCAGAGAGAGCGAGCAGGAUGGGCACCAGUGUAACAGGCAGAGGAAGGGACAGGCAGGUGUGAAGAAGGAUCGACGGAGACUCUAGCAGUGAGAGGCCCAGCUGCGACCUGCAGCUGAGAGGGAGCCCAGUGGCACUCUGCAGGUGGCCUUGGGACUAUCCCUGGAGCCCACAGUUACUGACACUUGCCUCGUGAACACUCCUGAGCAGAGGACCACAGGUUAGACCUCAGGGGAACCGGG
rnacentral:lncRNA from 1 species